GGUGCUCGAGCUGUGGUGCGUGCCGCUAAGUUGUGCGUUCCAGGGUGCACUCGCCGGCGAGGCUGCACGGCGCCGGUUUCAUUGCUAAAAUCCGACGGACUUGUUGCAGAACUCGUUUUUUUUGUCGGGAAAGGGCUUCCCCGUGUAACUUUACAGCAGUUAUCGUAGAUAAGACUUGCAAAUUACAGAUGUGGACGGUGAGGGAACGGGAAUUUCACUGAAAGCGCCUGAGAACCAGUAAGAGACCUGCAACAGCUUUGUGCUCCACUGGCGAAUGCUUCCUCCCCUAAUACACAUUAUGUGUGCUUGGAGACACAAGGAGUAAGAUACAGCCCCUCAAGGGACUCGUCAUAGGGAGAGGACACAGCUUUGGGAAUAAAGGGGCCACAAAGGAGGAGAGAGGAGUUUGCUGAAACUUCCCAAGCUCCCAUUCCAGCAGUUCCUGAAGGAUUCAUUUCUCUCUGAGGAUCUCAUGAGGUGGCUUAGCAGCUAGAAUCUCUUCCUUAACAGUGGGAAGAACAACUCCUGGAAAUUUAGGUCGACUUUGACUGGAUUUAAAAGAAAGCUGUACAAUUCCACUUCUGUAUAUACAACCAAAGGAAAUGAGAUGUGCAUACCCAUGUUCAAUGAAGCAUUAUUCACAAUAGCCAAAAUGUGGAACCAAUCCUUAAACAAAAGGAAAACAGAAAAUCUGCUCAAGUGGGAAGAAACUAACCCUCAUUGAGUGCCUAGUUAACAUCAGGCACUUUGUACACAUAAUCAAUUGAAUCUUGACCACAACCCUGUGAGAUCCAUGGAUGAUUCUGGGUUUAGUUCUUUGUGAGACUGCCAGAAACUCCCAGAGGCUGGAUCUAUGCAUAAAGAGAGGCCAUUGGAGAGAAUGUCUACUGAAUUGCUGAAGACAAUUGCUACCGAGAAUAGAUCGUAACUUAGGAAGAAACAAUUCAGUACCAAAAGAGUAAUUGGAGCCCUUCUGGAAAACACUAGUAAGGUGAAAAAUGAGAAGAUUAAAUAAGCCAUGGGAAGAUUUUUUAAAAUGACAUGAAACUCCAAGGGUAAAAAGUAGGCUGGGAAAUCUUAGGAUGGUGAACCAUCAUGUUUCCUGAAUGUGAAUCCUGUACCUGGUUUGACUGUAGUCACCCCUUCUCCAACACUCUCCACGAUGCCGGCUGCCUCAUGGCCUAAAAUCACAGGAAGUGGGGUCACCAUGGUACCACUAACCACGUGGUCAUCUGUGCCACAGAUUCCUACAGCCACCAUCUACAGAGUGAAGAGAAGAUGUUUAUAAAAGAUUGAUGUUCAACAUGAUCAAUGCCAAAUAAAUAUCAGAAUACUUGGAAGUAAAGUACUAAUAGUAGGAGUUCCUGAUUAUCAGGUGCCUAUGAUGUGACAGGCACAUUGUGGCCUGUGCUCGACCAGGAGACUGGUGAGUCCUUGUGGAUUUCUUCCCUGCUCAAGUGCAUAAAGCAGGUGUAUUGCAUAGCUUUUCCAGGCUGAGAUCAAAGACGGAGAUGUGCCUACCCGCAGAUCCUAGAUGGCCAUGUUUGCAACAGAGGUAAUGAUGAGCAGUGCGAAGAUGUGACUCCAAAGCCUGGAGAAGGACAGACCAGCAUCCCUGCAAGAGAUCCAACUGUCUUCUUUUCCGCAGAGGUCCAUAAUUUACAUGGGCCUGACAAAGAAUACUGUAACUUGCAGAAAUUAUCUUCAGUUCAAAUCCUUCAUUUUGGGGGUUAAAUAACUUGGUAAGAUAAUGAGAUUAAUAUUAUUGUAAAGAUUGCUAGAAAGAAUUGUAACAGUUCAUGUAUGUGCAUAAAUAACAACCUUAAAGCAUGUUUUGGGAUGAGGUGCAAAAUGAAAAUUGGGAGAGGGACUUUAGUAGCAGUAAACAGAACUUGAGAAUGGAAUAGAUGCAUACUCUAUAGCACACUGCAAUAAAUAGAAUACAUUUUAAGUUCCUAGAGAAAUUUUUGAAAAUGCCACAUUCAAAGCCAUCAAUCCCUACUCAAUUAGCAUUUCAUUUUGAUUUUGGUACUGAAGCCCAAGAUGUCGAGGGAGCGGAAAUACUUGCUGGUCUUGCAGCGGCUGUGGAGCCUGGAAUCCUGCCAAGAAGAGCAUGUGUGAGAGAUCAAAAUGUUUGCUUACAUUCCUCCUGUGAAGGGAGUUGGGAAAUAACCUAAGAAGCCCAAUCCAAAAACAAAGAUGUACCAUCCAGUCUUCUCUGUGAGAACCAAACUACAAACCAUCUGAAUGUUCCAAAAGUGUUUUGAUGAUGUAUUGAUGUAUUUUAAAUUAUCCUGAAAAUGUUCUUGGCAGAUGCUUAAACAUGUAAUUACUGAGAUGAUGUAGAAAUACCAAGUGUUUAUUAAAACAAUACAGAGUAAUACAAAUGGUAUGUUUGUCGCAAUAUAAAAGUAUCUAAAAAUUAAAGAGUUCUUUAAUGGUGGAGAUUGUUUUCCUUUUUGAAGUUAAAAUAUAAAUUUUUGUAAAAAGCACAAAUUAUUACUAUUUAUAGCUAACAUUUAUGGAGUGCUGACUAUGCUCAUUUUUGAGCAUACAUUGCCUCAUUUAGUGCAAUGUUUAGCAUUAACUUAUGAGGUAAAUGCCAUUGCCAUGCACAUUGUACAGAUGAAGACAUUGAGGUUUAGAGAGAUUGCAU
rnacentral:lncRNA from 1 species